GACAGAGGUGCCGAGCGUUAGGCGGAAUCACUGGGCUUAAAGCGUGUGUAGGCGGGCGGGCAAGGACCUUGGGAAAUCCCACGGCUCAACCGUGGAACGGCUGGGUAUACUGCCUGUCUUGAGCCAACUAGGGGCGAGCGGAACAGACGGUGGAGCGGUGAAAUGCGUAGAUAUCGUCUGGAACGCCAAAGGUGAAAACAGCUCGCUGGGGUUGUGCUGACGCUGAGACACGAAAGCCAGGGGAGCGAACGGG
rnacentral:rRNA from 1 species